UAGCCUUUCGCGUACACUGACCUAGCGGCGGACGGGUGGAGUAAUGCUUAGGAAUCUGCCUAUUAGUGGGGGACAACAUUCCGAAAGGAAUGCUAAUACCGCAUACGCCCUACGGGGGAAAGCAGGGGAUCUUCGGACCUUGCGCUAAUAGAUGAGCCUAAGUCAGAUUAGCUAGUUGGUGGGGUAAAGGCCUACCAAGGCGACGAUCUGUAGCGGGUCUGAGAGGAUGAUCCGCCACACUGGGACUGAGACACGGCCCAGACUCCUACGGGAGGCAGCAGUGGGGAAUAUUGGACAAUGGGCGNAAGCCUGAUCCAGCCAUGCCGCGUGUGUGAAGAAGGCCUUUUGGUUGUAAAGCACUUUAAGCGAGGAGGAGGCUACUUGGAUUAAUACUCUAGGAUAGUGGACGUUACUCGCAGAAUAAGCACCGGCUAACUCUGUGCCAGCAGCCGCGGUAAUACAGAGGGUGCGAGCGUUAAUCGGAUUUACUGGGCGUAAAGCGUGCGUAGGCGGCUUCUUAAGUCGGAUGUGAAAUCCCUGAGCUUAACUUAGGAAUUGCAUUCGAUACUGGGAAGCUAGAGUAUGGGAGAGGAUGGUAGAAUUCCAGGUGUAGCGGUGAAAUGCGUAGAGAUCUGGAGGAAUACCGAUGGCGAAGGCAGCCAUCUGGCCUAAUACUGACGCUGAGGUACGAAAGCAUGGGGAGCAAACAGGAUUAGAUACCCUGGUAGUCCAUGCCGUAAACGAUGUCUACUA
rnacentral:rRNA from 1 species